rnacentral:rRNA from 1 species
AACGCGAAGAACCUUACCAGCCCUUGACAUCCCGACCGCGGUUUGUGGAGACACAUUCCUUCAGUUAGGCUGGAUCGGUGACAGGUGCUGCAUGGCUGUCGUCAGCUCGCGUCGUGAGAUGUUGGGUUAAGUCCCGCAACGAGCGCAACCCUCGCCCUUAGUUGCCAUCAUUCAGUUAGGCACUCUAAGGGGACUGCCGGUGAUAAGCCGAGAGGAAGGUGGGGAUGACGUCAAGUCCUCAUGGCCCUUACGGGCUGGGCUACACACGUGCUACAAUGGUGGUGACAGUGGGCAGCGAGACAGUGAUGUCGAGCUAAUCUCCAAAAGCCAUCUCAGUUCGGAUUGCACUCUGCAACUCGGGUACAUGAAGUUGGAAUCGCUAGUAAUCGCGGAUCAGCAUGCCGCGGUGAAUACGUUCCCGGGCCUUGUACACACCG